rnacentral:rRNA from 1 species
GGGGUGAGUAACACGUGGGUAAUCAACCCUCGAUACUGGGAUAGCCCGGGGAAACCCGGAUUAAUACCGGAUGGCCCUUUGGAUCCUCGGAUCUGAAGGAAAAGGUAGCUUCGGCCUCCGAUCGAGGACGAGCCCGCGGCGGAUUAGCUUGUUGGUGAGGUAACGGCUCACCAAGGCGACGAUCCGUAGCUGGUCUGAGAGGACGAUCAGCCACACUGGGACUGAGACACGGCCCAG